AUGCAGAGGAGACUGGGGGCUCUGCUGGGGCUUCUGUGGGUGCAGGUUUGCUGGGUGAGAGGGCAGCAGGUGGAGCAGAGUCCUUCAGCCCUGAGUCUCCAGGAGGGAACUAGUCAUACUCUGACCUGCAAUUUUUCCACCACCAUGAACAAUGUGCAGUGGUUCCGACAGAAUCCUGGGAGUGGCCUCAUCAGUCUGUUUUACGUGGCUUCAGGGACAAAGCAGAAGGGAAGGUUAACAGCAAAGGUGAAUUUUCAGGAGCGCUACAGCACCCUGCACAUCUCCACGUCCCAGCUGAAAGACUCAGGCACCUACCUCUGUGCAGCAGGGGCACAGUGCUCCCAGGGGACCUGCAGCCUGUCCCCAAACUGCAGGUGCACCUGCAGCCACAGCCUCUGCCUCAGAGAGAACUUGUCAUAG